GCAAGUCGAGCGAGAAUUUUACUAAUGAACCUUCGGGUGAUUUAGUAAAAGGACAGCGGCGGACGGGUGAGUAACGCGUGGGCAACCUGCCCUAUACAGAGGGAUAGCCUCGGGAAACCGGGAUUAAUACCUCAUAAAGUUCUAGUAUCGCAUGAUACAUGAGCCAAAGAUUUAUCAGUAUAGGAUGGGCCCGCGUCUGAUUAGCUAGUUGGUAAGGUAAUGGCUUACCAAGGCGACGAUCAGUAGCCGACCUGAGAGGGUGAUC
rnacentral:rRNA from 1 species